AGAGCCUAUAGGACCAGCCAGGGAAAAAGGAAACUAAAAGGAACGAUGCAUGUCAGUCGCGUAGCAGUCAGUGCUCACAAACCAGUAGGAAGAACCGAGUCUGCUCGUUCUCCGUGGAAGAAAGCAAAGAUAUUCCCAAUGAUUCUGCAGAAAGUGAAAGGCGCUAGGAAAGAUUCCAGUUAUGCCAAGUUAAUGUCAGCUCACCAAGUGGACGGUGAGAAAAGCAUGAUUAUCAGGGGAAGUUACUUCCAGAAAUUGACAGACGACAGACCUUCCAUGAGAAAACUAAACCAUGUGUUAAAGCGCAUUAGUGUCUCCAGAAAAUUUCAAGAGCCUAUUAGGGACAAAAUUGAAAGAGAGGAAGAAAAAUCAGGAGUUUCGAUAAGUAUCACAGCAGAGAGUGAACGUGAGGAUAGUGAUUAUGAGAAGAAGAAAAAGAAGAGAAGAAAAUACACUUCAGAUGAAUCAUCCGAGAAGAGUAGUAGCUCUGGCUCAGAAUCAGAAGAUAAAGACUACCUGAAAGUAACUCUGGACCAAGAUGAAGCCACUGAAAGUACUGUGGACUCAGAUGAAGAAUCUGGGCAUGAUUUUGGGGAUUCUGAUGAUGAAUCGGGCUCCAGCUCUAGCAGCAAAUCAGAGGAGGACUCAUCUGAAGAAGACCAUGAUGAGGAAGACUCUGACAGUGAUGAAGAUGGUAGCUUGUCAAAGAGCUCAUCUACACAAAGUUCAUACAGCAAAUCAGGGACUAGUGAGUCCAGCAGUAGAAGAAACACUGAAAAGUCCAGUAUAAAAAGUAAGGGAGGCAGCUCUCGUGGCAGAGCAAGGCGAUCCAGCCAGAAAUCAAAUGCUAGCUCUAACGCAUCAGGUAGUGACAGGGACACGAGCUACAGGAAAACUUCAGGAUCCAGCUAUAAGAGCAAAACCUCCUCUGCCAGCCUGGAAAUAGAAGACACGAUAGAAGAGGUGUCAGAAGAAGAUGAACAAAUGGAUGCAGAGCAAGUCAGCGCAAGCCCUGAUGAGAGGGCAGGUCACUCAAAUAAGGCAGUUUCUGAAAUACCUGCCAAUGCAAAAACUGCUGCUACUGAAGAAGACAAGAGAGGAAAAUCGGCUGUUAAUGGUGAGGAAAGCGUGGAUGAAGGCACUGAAGAGGCUGAUACAGAUGCUAGUGACAGGGAGGAAACUAACAAUAAGAAUGAGUCUUCUUGCCUAGAAAGUGAAGUCAGUGUUACUUCCAAAGGUACGGAAGGGACAAAAAGCACAACUAGCACCACUUCGGGUAAAAAUGCUUCUUCCCCUGAUACUGAGAAUCAAAGUUCUGACAUCAACACAAAAAGAAAGAAAGGAAGAAAGAAGAUGUCUGAAGAAAACAGUCAGUCUCAGUCAGAUGAGACCCUGGGUGCUUCAGUCACAGAGUCAGAGACUACUGGUGAUUCUACAUCCUUUUAAAAAGGAGCAACAGUAGGUGGACGUUUUGCAGUAAGGAGUGAUCUUGUUUGCUGUGCCUUCUGUGUGCUCUUUCCUAAGCAAUACAGACUUGAGUAGAGACAGCCAAUAAGAGAAUGUCAAAGCUUAUUGCUUCAGCAUCUGAAC
ensembl:lncRNA